rnacentral:tRNA from 1 species
GGCCCUAUCGUCUAGCCCGGCCUAGGACGCGGCCCUCUCAAGGCUGAAACUCGGGUUCGAAUCCCGAUAGGGCCA